AGCUUUCUCAUUCCGUGCUGAGAUUUCGUCAGACAUCAGACCCUUGGUACUGAUGAGACUCUCAAAAUAAGUGAAGAG
rfam:Schistosoma mattheei strain Denwood, Zambia genome assembly, scaffold: SMTD_contig0000255